AUUGAACGCUGGCGGCAGGCCUAACACAUGCAAGUCGAGCGGCAGCGGGAAAGUAGCUUGCUACUUUUGCCGGCGAGCGGCGGACGGGUGAGUAAUGCCUGGGGAUCUGCCCAGUCGAGGGGGAUAACUACUGGAAACGGUAGCUAAUACCGCAUACGCCCUACGGGGGAAAGCAGGGGACCUUCGGGCCUUGCGCGAUUGGAUGAACCCAGGUGGGAUUAGCUAGUUGGUGAGGUAAUGGCUCACCAAGGCGACUAUCCCUAGCUGGUCUGUGAGGAUGAUCAGCCACACUGGAACUGAGACACGGUCCAGACUCCUACGGGAGGCAGCAGUGGGGAAUAUUGCACAAUGGGGGAAACCCUGAUGCAGCCAUGCCGCGUGUGUGAAGAAGGCCUUCGGGUUGUAAAGCACUUUCAGCGAGGAGGAAAGGUUGGUAGCUAAUAACUGCCAGCUGUGACGUUACUCGCAGAAGAAGCACCGGCUAACUCCGUGCCAGCCGCCGCAGUAAUAC
rnacentral:rRNA from 1 species